ACGAACGCUGGCGGCAGGCCUAACACAUGCAAGUCGAGCGGAUGAGAGGAGCUUGCUCUUCGAUUCAGCGGCGGACGGGUGAGUAAUGCCUAGGAAUCUGCCUAGUAGUGGGGGACAACGUUUCGAAAGGAACGCUAAUACCGCAUACGUCCUACGGGAGAAAGUGGGGGAUCUUCGGACCUCACGCUAUUAGAUGAGCCUAGGUCGGAUUAGCUAGUUGGUAGGGUAAAGGCCUACCAAGGCGACGAUCCGUAACUGGUCUGAGAGGAUGAUCAGUCACACUGGAACUGAGACACGGUCCCA
rnacentral:rRNA from 1 species